CAACACUGUUCUCAAACCCAGUGGAGAGCUCUGAUCACUAGAGCAAAUCAAGGAUGUCGUCAGAAUGCUCUGCCUUUCUGAAGUUGACAUUUCUUUUCCAAACUGGAAGAGUGGCACCUCCUUCUCUGAAGGCAUCUUCACAAAAUGCUCUGCUAGAUGCUCCAUAUGCACAUCACCUCGAAUCCCGAUCACCCUAUGAAGUGGGCAUAGCUAAUAGUCCACAGUUCCUAGCUGAGGAAUCCGAGGCUUGGGUGAGGAAUCCAGGACACAGCCUAUAUUACUAUGACCCAACAACGUUCCUUGUUAUGUAGAUGUCUUUCAUAUCCGACUUAAUAGAAGAUGCUGGAUUCCCAUUUCUGCCUUCUGCAUUAUUCCGCUGUGAUACACUAUUCUGAUCAAAGUAUACGAAACCUCACACAGAUAUGUAGUUGUAAAGAGAAGACGUACAUUAAUGGCCAUUUCAGGUUAACGUGGAUAUUUUUGACGCUACACCAAGACUCCACAAGUGUCCUGUCUGAAAGUUACCUUGGCCUUCAGAACAAUCAGAGUCACAGAAAGCAAUGAGAGCUACAUUGGGAAAUGCAGGAAUCCAAAAGUGAUCGCCACUCGUUCUGCGGAGAAAGAACCAAUCCCAGUGCAGAGACAAGAAAGCACCUUUAAAUGAACUUCGGACUCAAUUCGGUGAAAGGCAACAAAGACCACAUUCCGACGUGCCCAUGGCCACUCAGUUUUCAC